GCCCGGCUGGCUCAGUCGGUAGAGCAUGUGACUCUUGAUCUUGGGGUGGUGCGUUCAAGCCCCACGUUGGGCA
rnacentral:tRNA from 1 species